AUGGGCAUCAUCCACUCCUGCGGCAUAAUCCACAGAUGGGCAUCAUCCACUCCAGGGGCAUCAUCGACAAAUGGGCAUCCACUGCAGUGGCAUUAUCGACAGAUAGGCAUCAUCCACUCCUGGGGCAUCAUGCACUGCUGUGGCAUCAUCCACAGAUGGACAUCAUCCACGCCUGGAGCAGCAUCAUCCACAGCUGGGGCAUCAUCCACUGCUGGGGCAUCAUCCUCUGCUGCGGCAUCAUCCACAGAUGGGCAUCAUCCACUGCUGGGGCAUCAUCCAUACCUGGGGCAUCCACUGCUGCGGCAUCAUCCACAGCCGGGGCAUCAUUCACUGCUGUGGUAUCAUCCACAAAUGGGCAUCAUCCACUGCUGGGGCAUCAUCCACUGCUGCAGCAUCAUCAAUACCUGGGGCAUCAUCCACUGCUGUGGCAUCAUCCACAGAUGGGCAUCAUCCACUCCUGGGGCAUCAUCCACUGCUGUGGCAUCCACAGAUGGGGCAUCAUCCAUACCUGGGGCAUCAUCCACUGCUGGGGCAUCAUCCAUGCCUGGGGCAUCAUCCACUGCUGCGGCAUCAUCCACACCUGGGACAUCAUCCAGUGCUACAGCAUCAUCCACAGAUGGGCAUCAUCCACUCCUGGGGCAUCAUCCACUGCUGUGGCAUCAUCCACAGACAGGCAUCACCCACUCCUGGGGCAUCAUCCACUGCUGUGGCAUCAUCCACUGCUGCAGCAUCAUAUAUAACUGGGGCAUCAUCCACUGCUGGGGCAUCAUCCACACCUUGGCAUCAUCCACAGCUGGGGCAUCAUCCAUGCCUGGGGCAUCAUCCACUGCUGAGGCAUCAUCCACAGAUGGGCAUCAUCCACUGCUGAGGCAUCAUCCACACCUGGGGCAUCAUCCACAGAUGGGCAUCAUCCACGCCUGGGCAUCAUCCACUGCUGGGGUAUCAUCCACACCUCUGGUAGCUCUGCAGGAAGGUUGCCCACCUCAAUCUUGCUUUCUCCAGGUUCCAGAGGCUCCCAUUUAA
rnacentral:lncRNA from 13 species